rnacentral:rRNA from 1 species
GACAGAGGGUGCAAACGUUGUUCGGAAUUACUGGGCGUAAAGCGCGUGUAGGCGGCUAUGUAAGUCGGGCGUGAAAUCCCACGGCUCAACCGUGGAAGUGCACCCGAAACUGCGUAGCUAGAGUCCUGGAGAGGAAGGUGGAAUGCUUGGUGUAGAGGUGAAAUUCGUAGAUAUCAAGCGGAACACCGGUGGCGAAGGCGGCCUUCUGGACAAUGACUGACGCUAAAACACGAAAGCGUGGGGAGCAAACAGG